rnacentral:snRNA from 1 species
GUGCUUGCUUCGGCAGCACAUAUACUAAAAUUGGAAUAUGAUACAGAGAAGACUAGCAUGGUCCCUGUGCAAGGAUGACACACAAAUUCGUGAAGCGGUCCGUAUUUUU